rnacentral:tRNA from 1 species
GAAAAAGAAUGCAAGAACUGCUAAUUCAUGCCUCCAUGCUCAAAAACAUGGCUUUUUCA